rnacentral:rRNA from 1 species
UACGGAGGAUGCGAGCGUUAUCCGGAUUUAUUGGGUUUAAAGGGUGCGUAGGCGGCUUAGUAAGUCAGCGGUGAAAUUUUGCAGCUUAACUGUAACAGUGCCGUUGAUACUGCCAGGCUAGGAUUUGGUUGCUGUGGGUGGAAUGUGUGGUGUAGCGGUGAAAUGCUUAGAUAUCACACAGAAUAUCGAUUGCGAAGGCAGUUCACAAAGCCAAGAUUGACGCUGAGGCACGAAAGUGUGGGGAUCAAACAGGAUUA